GAGGGCAUCCCCGGGACCAGCAGCACCUCAUCUUCACUGGCAAGCAGCUCGAGGACAGCCGCACCCUAGUCGACUGCAACAUCCAGAAGGAGUCAGCCCUCCACCUUGUCCUCCACCUCGACGGUGGCGCCAAGAAGCGCAAGAAGAACACCUGCACCAAGCCGGCGGUGACUGAGGGAAAUUCCCCCCCUCUUUUUUAUAAACUUUAUUGUUACUAGUCUAAUUGAACAUUAGCAGCAUGUUCUUAUUUUGAAGAUUUGGGUAUGUUACUGCAAAUCGUUGAGUUAUUGAACCAUUUGCAUCAUGAGCUGUGCCUCGUUAACUUGCUUAUUUGUGAGUUGUGUUAUAGAGGUUUCUGUGGGAAGCUUGUCGAGACACUACUUUAAUCAUCUUGAUGGUAGCUGCGGCUGCUUCUUUGGCCCUUGGGAUAAAGACAGAGGGUAUAAAAGAAGGAUGGUAUGAUGGUGGAAGUAUUGCGUUGGCUGUCUUUAUCGUCAUUGUUGUAACAGGUUGGAUUUUCUGUUAACGGAGUAAUAAUACUAACUUUUAUGUGGGUUUUGAAGGCAUUCCUUGAGGACGAUGGAAGGUAACUUUGGUCCGGAUCUUCUUGGCUUUCUUCUUAAAAGUUGUCCCAGAUUUGACAAAUUUGGCAACCUUGGCUGCCUGAGCCUUUGUAUCAAGCUUUUUUGUGGUGUCAGCUUUAGGAGCCAUUGCUGAAAACUGCCUUACAAAUCUUUUACCUGAGGGGAGGAGCGGAGUGUUGAGGGUAGGAGCU